GACGAACGCUGGCGGCGUGCUUAACACAUGCAAGUCGAACGGAAAGGCCCUGCUUUUGUGGGGUGCUCGAGUGGCGAACGGGUGAGUAACACGUGAGUAACCUGCCCUUGACUUUGGGAUAACUUCAGGAAACUGGGGCUAAUACCGGAUAGGAGCUCCUGCUGCAUGGGGGGGGUUGGAAAGUUUCGGCGGUUGGGGAUGGACUCGCGGCUUAUCAGCUUGUUGGUGGGGUAGUGGCUUACCAAGGCUUUGACGGGUAGCCGGCCUGAGAGGGUGACCGGACACAUUGGGACGGAAAUACGGCCCAUACUCCAACGGGAGGCAGCAGUGGGGAAUGUUGCACAAUGGGCGGAAGCCUGAUGCAGAAACGCCGCGUGCGGGAUGACGGUCUUCGGGUUGUAACCCGCUUCCGCCUGUGACGAAGCGUGAGUGACGGUAAUGGGUAAAGAAGCACCGGCUAACUACGUG
rnacentral:rRNA from 1 species